rnacentral:rRNA from 1 species
CUCCUCUUGGUAGUUUUUGAGGUAAGGUCUGCCCACUGAUUUUAUUGAAGGGCCGCGGUAUUUUGACCGUGCAAAGGUAGCAUAAUCAUUAGUCCUUUAAUUGUGGACUGGUAUGAAUGGCUUGACAAGGUGUCAUCUGUCUUUAAAAGAUUUCUGUUGAUUGAAUUUGGUUUUUGGGUAAAAAUACCUAAAUUUUAUUAUGGGACGAGAAGACCCUAUAGAGUUUUAUACAAUUUUUUUUCUAUUAGUUUGUUUAGUUUUGUUAAAUUGUAUUGUAUUUUGUUGGGGUGAUGGGAGAGUAAGGUUAACCUCUCCUUAUUUUGUUUCACUUAUUCGUGUUUUUGUGAUCC